rnacentral:tRNA from 1 species
CAGCUAAUAGUUUAUUAGAAAAAUUUAAUUUUUGGGAAAUUAAGAUAUAUAUUUAUAUUUUGCUGA